UUUUAGUAGAGAUGGAGUUUCACCGUGUUGGUCAGGCUGGUCUCAAACUCCUGACCUCAGGUGAUCCACCCGCCUCAGCCUCCCAAAGUGCUGGGAUUACAGUUGUGAGCCACCACGCCCAGCCUGUAAUUUUAUUUUUAAGAAUGGCUAUGUUCUCAGAAGCUCAGGCUUACAGUAACCUAUGAUUGCACCACUGUCUACAGCCUGGGCAACACAGCAAGACCCUGCCUUAAAAAAAAAAAAAAAAAAGGCUAGGCUCAGUGGCUCGUGCCUGUAAUCCCAGCACUGGGAGGCUGAGGUGGGAGAUUUGCUUGAGGCCAGGCAUUCAAGACCAGCCUGGGAAACAUAACAAGACCUGCCUCCAUUAAAUUUUUUUUUAAAAUAAAAAUAAAAAGUAAGAAAGAAUGGCUAUAUUUAGCUGUCAAACUUUCUAAAAUUUGGAAAUAACUCUGACAAGCUGGUUCCAGCAUGCUACUGCUACCCUCCCGAAUUGAGCCACAUGUGGGGAAAUAAAUAACUGAACCAAACUCAGUCCCCAUCAGCAGGAAAGAAGAAAGAAAAGGAUGUUGGAGAGGUAGCAAACAGUGUCUGUUACAAACAUUAUUCAUUAAAAGGGCAUUACAUCUCUAUUUAUUCCUCAACUUACUUCCAUGACUGCAGGUUCAUAUAAGUGUGUCAUUCUACAAGAGUUUAAGGUGGAAUUGGGGAUACUAUUAGAUGGUAUUAAGGCCAUAAACCUAAUGCCUGGCACAGAACAGGGACAUAGUAGGUGCUCCAGUAUUUGUGGAAUGAAUGAAAACCUACUGGAAUCCUGCCCAAGGCAGCAAACCCUCCUCUCCUACAAGGACUUGAGUUACAAACAGGAACAGAUAAAAAGUCGAGUAACUAUUUUUAAUGAUGGCCAGAGCCAUGCGCCAAUGCUGAGAACUCUGAUAAUACAGAUACUAAGGGGUCCUUCCUUUGCCCUAGGCUAGACUCCAAAAUCAGGAUCUCACUAAACUCUGGCCAGCCUGGCCCCAUGGAAAGAGGACAGUGAGUCUGAGAAGUCCUCUUAACAUUCCCGAGAAGUAGAGGGCAGACAGAAGCAGAAGAGAAGAUCUGCACCCUUGCAAAUGACCUGUUAGUGCGCCACGACCAUUCUACUAGUUCCUGGCUGCUCAACGUUGGGUCUCCAGACCAGAAGCAGAUGCAUCACCUCUGCACCCAUUUCACUGAAUCUUAAAUGAUGCUUUCAAGACAGAAGGAAGAACAGUACACCUGAGAUGACCCCAAAGCACAAUGAUACAACUGUUCAACCUAUUUGAUAUGGAUUUCUCCUAUUCGGAAGAAAUUUCAACAACUUCACUUCUAACUUAAACACAUUCAUCGACUAGCCUGGCCAACAUGGUGAAACCCCGUGUCUACUAAAAAUACAAAAAUUAGCUGGGCGUGGUGGCAUAUGCCUGUAGUCCCAGCUACUUGGGAGGCUGAGGCAGAAGAAUCACUUGAACCUGGGAGGCAGAGGUUGCAGCAAGCCGAGAUUGUGCCAUUGCACUCCAGCCUGGGCGACAAGAGCAAAACUCCGUCUCAAAAAAUAAAUAAACAAACACAUAUAACACUGUCAAAAUAAGGAGAAACUUUCUUUCCCACAUUGAAAGUCAUUGAUGUUUUCCUUAAAAGCAUUGUAUCAUGUUUGUAUUCUUUAACAAUCAAAAAGAAUCAUUGUCUGCCUUUUUGUUUCUUCUUUUCUAAAUGAAAACAUUUAUAAAAAUAUUUAAGUGGAUAAGUUGCCUAUUGAAAUUGUAAUGUCCCUGAAGUAUUGGUUGAGCUUAAUUUAUUCAUAUAAGUUUCAAGCCAUUCAAAGGCCUAUUUUUCUGGCAGAAAACUAAAGACAGAGCUGUUAUUGUACCAUCUGGUUUGCAUGAGGAAUCUCUUGGCAUCUCUUAACUGCACAUUUUAUAAAUGCUAAAUCCCAGAUGGCAUACAUUGUAACAGUGAAGAGUUUUAUAAAGGCUUCCAAAAACAAAUUCUUUCAAAUUUGAAUACUGGAUAGUCUAAGCAGGGGCUAGGAAUUUAAAUUCUACACUUGAUUAAACUGGCUUUGUUAGCUGAACAAAUUUCCCUUUUUUCUUAUGUCUUUCCUUCUUCCUAAUUAUUGGUUCUGUGACUUGAAAAUUUCAAUCCAUGUAAUUCUUCUACCAACAGGUCCCCUCUAUAACUCAAGUUCUAGAAAAACUGCAGGAACGACAAUCAUUGGAAAAACCUAUGUUAGGUGCCAUUUUGUUUCAAAGAUGGUAGAAUUUACCACAAGGGAGGUGUGUUAUAGCAUCCAUUAGCAGAUCAUCAAAUACCAUCAAAACCGUUCAACUCUUACAAAGCUGAUGGUUGGAUUGGAAAGACAAGCAAAUGUAAACUCCAAGCAUUGUGUUGAAAUAAAGCCAGAGUAGAAUAAUGAUUGAGAACAUGGGGUCUGAAGUCAGAGACUGACAGAUAUUAAGCCCCAGAUUGGAUCUUCCCAUUAAGUUGGGCAAAUUACUUCUCCCUAAGCUUUAGUUUCUUCAUCAGUAAAAUAAAGACAGUACUUUUCUCUUUAAAAGAGAAUCAUUCACAGGGUUGUUGCAAGUAAUUACUGAAUAUUUGUAAAAUACUAAGUACAGUUUAUGGUGUGUAGUCAGCACUUAAUUAAAGUAAAUUAAUAGUAGUACUAGCACUAGGAGAAAGAAAGUUUCUCCUUUCUUUAAGUCAAUCUAUAUAAAUGCAGCAUUUUCUUAAAACUUCUCUUUUCUCUGCAUUUUCCUUCUCAAUAACAACAGCCGAGACCUAGUUUUGUUUUUUU
rnacentral:lncRNA from 1 species